CUUCCUUCUUUUCAUUCUGUCAUUUAGGUUAAUAUUGUGGAGUAACUACAUUGUUGUUGAUCCAUCCUCAGUUUUCUCCUAUCACAGCCAUUAAACUCUGUAACUGUUUUAAAGUCACCAUUGGCCUCAUGGUGAAAUCCCUGAGCGGUUUCCUUCCUCUCCGGCAACUGAGUUAGGAAGGACGCCUGUAUCUUUGUAGUGACUGGGUGCAUUUAUACACCAUCCAAAGUGUAAUUAAUAACUUCACCAUGCUCAAAGGGAUAUUCAAUGUCUGCUUUUAUUUUAUUUUUACCCAUCUACCAAUAGGUGCCCUUCUUUGCGAGGCAUUGGGAAACCUCCCUGGUCUUUGCGGUUGAAUCUGUGCUUCAAAUUCACUGCUUGACUGAGGGACCUUACAUAUAAUUCUAUGUGUGAGGUACAGAGAUGAGGUAGUCAUUCUAAAAUCAUGAUAAACACUUUUAUUGCACACAGAGUGAGUCCAUGCAACUUAUUGUGUGACUUGUUAAGCUAAUGUUUACUCCUGAAUUUACACUACAUGACCAAAAGCAUGUGGACACCUGCUCGUCCAACAUCUCAUUCCAACAUCAUCAUUAAUAUGGAGUUGGUCCCCCCCUUUGCAGCUAUAACAGCCUCCACUCUUCAGGGAAGUCAUUAAUAUGGAGUUGGUCCCCCCCUUUGCUGCUAUAACAGCCUCCACUCUUCUGGGAAGUCAUUAAUAUGGAGUUGGUCCCCCCCUUUGCUGCUAUAACAGCCUCCACUCUUCAGGGAAGGCAUUAAUAUGGAGUUGGUCCCCCCCUUUGCUGCUAUAACAGCCUCCACUCUUCAGGGAAGUCAUUAAUAUGGAGUUGGUCCCCCCUUUGCUGCUAUAACAGCCUCCACUCUUCAGGGAAGGCUUUCCACUAGACGUUGGAACAUUGCUGCAGGGACUUGCUUCCAUUCAGCCACAAGAGCAUUCGUGAGGUGGGGCCCUGAUGUUGGGCGAUUAGGUCCCGGCUCGCAGUCGACGUUCCAAUUCAUCCCAAAGGUGUUCGAUGGGGUUAAGGUCAGGGCUCUGUGUAGGCCAGUCAAGUUCUUCCACACUGAUCUCAACAAACUAUUUCUGUAUGGACCUCGCUUUGUGCACUGUCCUCGCUUUGUGCAUUGUCAUGCUGAAACAGGAAAAGGGCCUUCCCCCUGAACUCUUGCCACAAAAUCGCCUAGAAUGAGAGUCCAACGGCAGCGAGCUUUACACCACUCCACCCGACGCUUGGCAUUGCGCAUGGUGAUCUUUAGGCUUGCGUGCGGCUGCUCAGCCAUGGAAACCCAUUUCACGAAGCUCCCGACGAACAGUUAUUGUGCUGCCGUUGCUUCCAGAGGCGGUUUGGGAACUCAGUAGUUUAAGCGGUUCAGCACUCGGCGGUACCGUUCUGUGAGCUUUUGUGGCCUACCACUUUGCGGCUGAACCGUUGUUGCUCCUAGGUGUUUCCACUUCACUAUAAUAGAAUUUACAGUUGACCGGGGGAAAGUCUAGCAGGGCAGAAAUUUGACAGACUGACUUUUUGGAAAGGUGACAUCCUUGAAAGUCACUGAACUCUUCAGUACAGGUCAUUCUACUGCCAAUGUUUGUCUAUGGAGAUUGCAUGGCUGUGUGCUCAAUUUUAUACACCGGUUUGGCUGAAAUAGCCAAAUCCAUUCAUUUGAAGGGGUGUCCACAUACUUUUGAAUAUAUCGUGUAUUUAUGCUCGCCAUAACAAACGGGUAUAACACUUAUUGAUUCAAAACAUUUCAGCUUUUCAUUUUCAUUAAUUUGUAAAAAUGUAAAUAGAUAUAAUUCCUCUUUGACAUUAUUGGGGUAUUGUGUGUAGUCCAGUGACCUCAAAAAUAAAAAUCUCAAUGUAAUCUAAUCCGUAACACAACAAAAUGUGUUUAAAAAGUCAAGGGUCCGUUUCAUUGGUCAUUUUCCAGAGAUGUGAUGAAAUGUGGACUGCCAGUACCAACAUAACACACUUAGAAAGAUAUUUUACCUCAGAAAUUAAAGUAUUGUUAUCCAUGACACAAUUUCCCUGUUAUAACAUGACAAAAAAAAAUGGAAAUAUGUAAAAUCAUUUGAUUAAAAGUCAAUUCCCCAGUCCUCUGUCUAUGACAAAUACAGUACCCAGGGGGAAAUACACAGAGACAACUGGAAUUACCAACAAAACCAACAACUUUAACACUGUUAUUCAUAUAAGACCCUACGACACGAACAAUGACCCGGUUUAUAAAGGACGAUUAGUCAGAACACACCUGAGACCGUUGGUAGGGGUUUUGAGGGGGGGAGGGGUACGGCAUUUUUACAGUCACUUGAUAGGAACAAUGAACGAUGAAGGAUUUGGCUAGGAAUCUGAACUAGACAGGGGAAUUCCCCUCACAGUCAGACUAGGAGAGCACUGAGAACUCUGUGACCUCAGAACACAGUGUGGUUCGGUCGCAAACGGCAUCCUUUUCACCAUGUGGCACACUACUAUUGACCAGAGCCCUAUGGACACCUAUGGGCCUCCCUAUGGGCCCCCCUAUGGGCCCCCCUAUGGGCCUCCCCUAUGGGCCUCCCUAUGGGCCUCCCUAUGGGCCUCCCUAUGGGCCUCCCUAUGGGCCUCCCUAUGUACCCUGGGCUGUAGGAAAUACCCUGUCAUGUAGGACGCAGCCUGUGGCUUUGUGUCCUGACAAACUGACAUUGAACAUUCAACAUCAUUGGCUCAGAUGCAGACCCCCCCCCAUUUUAAUUAAUUUACUUAACUUUCCUCCAUUCCUCACGUCCUCUUUCCUCAUCUCCUUCAACUAAAACCCACUGGAGAAGAAGGCCUGAACGGAGGGACCUUAGACAUAAAAAAACGGUAACUGUAAUUCGUUACGUUACCAGCAAAAAACUAUUGUAAUCAGAUUACAGAUACUUUAGAAAAACGACAUGAUUACUGAGAGAGGAUUACUUUUAAACUCUGAAAAUCUUUGACGCUUCUCUGUUUUCUCAUCGACGUUCAAAUCAACAUUGAAAAAACAUUGAAAAAAAGUUUACGUUUGUUCCACCUGAGCGAGUCUGACCACCAAUCAGAGACCACUAAUGAUGACACACCAAAUAAUGACCACCAAUCAGAGACCACUAUGGUGACACAACAAACGAUGACCACCAAUCAGAGACCACUAAUGAUGACACACCAAAUGAUGACCACCAAUCAGAGACCACUAUGGUGACACACCAAAUGAUGACCACCAAUCAGAGACCACUAAUGAUGACACACCAAAUGAUGACCACCAAUCAGAGACCACUAUGGUGACACACCAAAUGAUGACCACCAAUCAGAGACCACUAUGGUGACACACCAAAUGAUGACCACCAAUCAGAGACCACUAUGAUCACACACCAAAUACUGACCACCAAUCAGAGAACACUAUGAUGACACUCCAAAUAGGUUACGGACGAUACGGAUAUCACUUAUUACUGAUAUCUACAUAGAGCAUUGACGCGAAUCACACUGCUGCUGCUCUCUCAUUUAGCGAUUUGAGCCUUUACGGAUUGUUGUUGUUGUGGACGGCUGAUCACAAAUCUAAACGUGUAUUUGAACCCAAUUUAUGGUGGAAUUCAAGAAGUUGAAGCUGCCUAUCAAAUCAUUGUUUUUUAAUCCAGUGGACAGCGAGCGAAACCAUGUGUGGAUCCCAGCCUAUAGAAUAACAGCUGCAUAGUGUGGAUCCCAGCCUAUAGAAUAACAGCUGCAUAGUGUGGAUCCCAGCCUAUAGAAUAACAGCUGCAUAGUGUGGAUCCCAGCCUAUAGAAUAACAGCUGUAUAGUGUGGAUCCCAGCCUAUAGAAUAACAGCUGCAUAGUGUGGAUCCCAGCCUAUAGAAUAACAGCUGC
rnacentral:lncRNA from 1 species